rnacentral:rRNA from 1 species
UAGCAUAUCAAUAAGCGGAGGAAAAGAAACCAACAGGGAUUGCCCCCAGUAACGGCGAGUGAAGCGGCAACAGCUCAAAUUUGAAAUCUGGCCCCCAGGGUCCGAGUUGUAAUUUGCAGAGGAUGCUUUUGGCGAGGUGCCUUCCGAGUUCCCUGGAACGGGACGCCAUAGAGGGUGAGAGCCCCGUCUGGUUGGACACCGAGCCUCUGUAAAGCUCCUUCGACGAGUCGAGUAGUUUGGGAAUGCUGCUCUAAAUGGGAGGUAUAUGUCUUCUAAAGCUAAAUAUUGGCCAGAGACCGAUAGCGCACAAGUAGAGUGAUCGAAAGAUGAAAAGCACUUUGAAAAGAGGGUUAAAUAGUACGUGAAAUUGUUGAAAGGGAAGCGCUCAUGACCAGACUUGGGCCCGGUGAAUCAUCCAGCGUUCUCGCUGGUGCACUUUGCCGGGCUCAGGCCAGCAUCAGUUUGCUCCGGGGGAUAAAGGCUUUGGGAAUGUGGCUCCUCCGGGAGUGUUAUAGCCCAUUGCACAAUACCCUGGGGCGGACUGAGGUUCGCGCAUUUAUGCAAGGAUGCUGGCGUAAUGGUCAUCAGCGACCCGUCUUGAAACACGGACCAAGGAGUCGUCUUCGUAUGCGAGUGUUCGGGUGUUAAACCCCUACGCGUAAUGAAAGUGAACGUAGGUGAGAGCUUCGGCGCAUCAUCGACCGAUCCUGAUGUUCUCGGAUGGAUUUGAGUAAGAGCAUACGGGGCCGGACCCGAAAGAAGGUGAACUAUGCCUGUAUAGGGUGAAGCCAGAGGAAACUCUGGUGGAGGCUCGCAGCGGUUCUGACGUGCAAAUCGAUCGUCAAAUAUGGGCAUGGGGGCGAAAGACUAAUCGAACCUUCUAGUAGCUGGUUUCCGCCGA